CCUACGGGAGGCUGCAGUGAGGAAUAUUGGUCAAUGGACGAGAGUCUGAACCAGCCAAGUAGCGUGAAGGAUGACUGCCCUAUGGGUUGUAAACUUCUUUUAUAAAGGAAUAAAACGAGGCACGUGUGCCUUUUUGCAUGUACUUUAUGAAUAAGGAUCGGCUAACUCCGUGCCAGCAGCCGCGGUAAUACGGAGGAUCCGAGCGUUAUCCGGAUGUAUUGGGUUUAAAGGGAGCGUAGAUGGGUUGUUAAGUCAGUCGUGAAAGUUUGCGGCUCAACCGUAAAAUUGCAAUUGAUACUGGCAGUCUUGAGUACAGUUGAGGUAGGCGGAAUUCGUGGUGUAGCGGUGAAAUGCUUAGAUAUCACGAAGAACCCCGAUUGCGAAGGCAGCUUACUAAACUGUGACUGACAUUGAUGCUCGAAAGUGUGGGUAUCAAACAGGAUUAGAUACCCGGGUAGUC
rnacentral:rRNA from 1 species